UACGUAGGGGGCAAGCGUUGUCCGGAUUUAUUGGGCGUAAAGAGCGUGUAGGCGGCCAGAUAGGUCAGCUGUGAAAACUCGAGGCUCAACCUCGAGACGUCGGUUGAAACCAUCUGGCUAGAGUCCGGAAGAGGAGAGUGGAAUUCCCGGUGUAGCGGUGAAAUGCGCAGAUAUCGGGAAGAACACCCGUGGCGAAGGCGGCUCUCUGGGACGGUACUGACGCUGAGGUGCGAAAGCGUGGGGAGCAAACAGG
rnacentral:rRNA from 1 species